GAUGAACGCUGGCGGCGUGCUUAACACAUGCAAGUCGAACGGAAAGGCUCUGCUUUUGUGUGCUGCUCGAGUGGCGAACGGGUGAGUAACACGUGAGUAACCUGCCCUUGACUUUGGGAUAACUUCAGGAAACUGGGGCUAAUACCCGAUAGGUGCUCCUGCUGCAUGGUGGGCGUUGGAAAGUUUCGUCGGUUGGGGAUGGACUGGCGGCUUAUCAGCUUGUUGGUGGGGUAGUGGCUUUCCAAGGCUUUGACGGAUAGCCGGCCUGAGAGGGUGACCGGCCACAUUGGGACUGAGAUACAGCCGAGACUCCUACGUGCGGCAGCAGUGGGGAAUAUUGCACGAUGGGCGGGAGCCUGAUGCAGGAACGCCGCGUGCGGGAUGGCGGCCGUCGGGUUGUAAACCGCUUUCGCCUGUGACGGGGCGUGAGUGACGGUAAUGGGUAAAGAAGCACCGGCUAACUACGUG
rnacentral:rRNA from 1 species